CUCUUUGGUUGUUCAUUCGCUAGUCCAGCCUUGCUGGCCCAAAGCUUCCAGUCUCCCUUCCAUAGCUCCUGUGUCUACUGCACCAGGGUUUACGGGGUUUCUGAGGAUCCAAACUCAGGUCUUCAUGAUCAUCUAUGAAAUGAAUGCAUAUACUACACGUGGGUGUUAAGAAAUGUCCAAGAACUUAGUAGAGCAAGACCAAGAUACCUCUGAGCUACAAGGAACACACUUGAAAUCCAGUGAGCCAUAAAAAACGUCCCAGUCACUGUUCUAAAUACAGGCUGCUCUGUGCCCCGUCUCCAAGGAUUCUGUGGGCCGUGGAGCACCGUUUGUGAGAACAACAGCUCAAGAGCUAGACUCACCAGCUGCUGAACUCCUUAUGGAACUCUCCCAGGCCUCAGACCCCUCAUCUGUCAUGUGAGGACAACAGUGCCUAUCGCAGGAUGUGUAGUGUGGCUGCCCAGGCUGACUUCAAACCAGCAGUCCUCCUGCCUCCACCCCGCCAUCCUCCUGCCUCCACCCCGCCAGUGGCUGAGAUCACACUUGCUAGACUUCACUUGUUUCCAGUUGUAGCUGAGAAAACAAAAGUCCAGGAGUCAAAAGGAUGUGGGAGUCACAAUGAAAACGCAUCUCUUCCUCCUGCACACAGCGCCUCAUCAUCAUUGUUAAUCUCAGAGCCUAGGGGAAGGAGAAGCUGAGAUAGACUCCUGUGGUGACUACAGGUCCUGCAUUGGAGAGUGGGGCCUAGGUCCCCAAAUUUUGCUCGAAUGGUGCGAGCUGAGCUGGUGCAGGAACAAAGAAGAAAGCAAGAAACCAAGCGUGAGUGUGGCAUGAAGGCUGAACAGGUGUUGGCCUGAAGUCACAGGUGUUGGCCUGAAGUCACAGGUGUUGGCCUGAAGUCACAGGUGUUGGCCUGAAGUCACAUGGAAUCUAACACCACUUGACUUAUGAUCCCUGGUGCUGGGCUCCUGAGUAGCCCAGCUUAUCUUCCUGAGCUUCUGGCCUCAGUGUCCAUGCAUGUUCAUGCUUUUCCAAUUCCCAGUGCUGGGAUCCUGGGCAACCUGGCUUGUAAUUGGUGCCCGGUUCUCCCUGGACCCCAGUUCCUAGUGCAGGGAACUUGCAACUACCACUGAACUACUGAAGAAGUACAACAGGCUUCAGAUCUGCCACCAACAUCACCCAGUGCCCUAAUGCACUGACUGCAUUAGCGGCUGCCCAGGGAGCCCUUUGAUCACCAGGAUCCUGCUUGCCAGCCAAGCAGGGAGCAGAUGCCUAUGCCUGAGAAUCCAGCCAGGCCCAGAGCCUGAACAUCCCACAGGAGCUCCAGCUUGCCCCACACCCAGCUUCUGAAUACAGUCUUGGCAGAGAAAGACAUCCCAAAAAGGUUCUGACAGCAGACACUGAAGAAGCAGCUGAACACGUCCAGAGCAAUCUUUGACAUUGCAACACGACAUUGUCAUCUACAAAUGUAUUGGGUCAUAUUCACAGCUGUCCUGGAGCACCUGCAGCCAAUGGGUGCCAGUCGGACAUGCCUAAAGCUUCUUGUGCCAGGGGCCACAUCUUAGACAAUCCAUAUCCCCCAUAGCAUCCAACAUAUUGCCUUGCACAUAAUAAAUUUUGUGCAAAGAAAGAAUGAAUAAGGGCCGGGCGGUGGUGGCACACGCCUUUAAUCCCAGCACUCAGGAGACAGAGGCAGGCAGAUCUCUGUGAGUUCGAGGCCAGUCUGGGCUACAGAGUGAGUUCCAGGAAAGGGGCCAAAGCUACACAGAGAAACCCUGUCUCAAAAAAACAAACAACAAAGAAUCAUGUGCUUACUAUUUCCCUCCCUUUCCAUGUUCGCUUAUAGUAAACUUUUACACACACACACACAUUCCUUGUGAACUUCAGAAGAAAGUACUUUGGAGUUCUUCCCAAUCUCACCACACAGUGUGACAACCCAUUUCAUCCCUCACUCCUUUCCUCUUUGGUUACUUUAAAUAUUUGAGGUGAAAGAAUUUUCAAAAUGCAAUUAUCUCUCUUUUAAUUUUUUUACUACAUUUUUGUUUGUUUUGUUUUUUGGAGGGGGGCUUUGGUUUUUUUGUUUGUUUGU